GCAGCCGUGGCCAACUGGUUAGCACUCUGGACUUAUAACCAGAGGGUUGCCGGUUCGAGCCCCUGCGGCUGAA
rnacentral:tRNA from 1 species